rnacentral:siRNA from 1 species
ACAACAAAUAGAAAGAAGAAAGC